GGCCGCACUGAAAAAAAGUUUUUAAAAGCGUAUGCAUGUUUAAAAAUGUUAAAUUGUUAAACAACACUUGCGGUGAAAAUAUGAAGUGUUUAUUCUGAGUUGAAAAGACCGUACUUAUAUCUAGUAUUCUUAAUGUAAUUUAAAUAAUGUCUUCCUUUGCUAACUGCAUAUGACUUUGCUCUACUUAUAUUGUUUAAUACGUACUGAUGAAUUCAGCAGCGAAUUGGCUAAUGCUGCUAAUGAUUUUACUUUUUUUUCACAAUGAACAGUCUUCUUUGUGUAGUUUUCAUUAUAUUGAACUCUUAUUUUUUAUUAUGUACAUGCCUGCAAUUCGCAGCUCGCUGUUUUUGUUGUUGUAUGGUAUUGUUGUUUUGCCUUCAUUUGUUUUGUCUGGUCCUUUGUAGUUUGAAUGUUGUCACAUGAUCCAAAUAGGACAAGGUUGUAAUUUUUUCUUCAUAUUGUUACUCUGCUUAGCUAUAUAUUUUUUCAUCAUUAUUAUUAUUAUUUUUUACUAGCUCCUUGAUCACCACCCCAUUGGGAAGAAACUAAAUCACGACCCCCAAAUGGUAGUCUUCCCAUGCAGAUACAGGGAUGUCACACAGAUCCAAAUGGAGACAUCGAACACUGUAAAACCCACUGUGCAGACAGGACCAAUGGUGACAAUAUAAGACCAUGCCGAGCUUCAUGGACGGUUCAAACUCAUCCUGCCCAGGAACGGCUGAUAUGAAAUGCAUAUUUAUAACUUGUCUAACAAGUAGCUCAUUCAAAGGUAUAAAAAUGUAUUUUUUGGCGUGUGUAGGGUAUUAUUUUAACUAUGUAGCCUACAGAAUGCUUGUAUGGGCUCAUGUAGGUGUCUGCGUACGUUUGUAUUUAUAUAACAUAUGUCCGUGGGUAUAGAUUAUGUAUUUUUCAGGGAAGGACCAUAUUUGUGGCUGACCCCUAUGUUGUUGCAACAUGGUGAAAGCCUACAGGAUGUGACCCACACAUGCAUUUGCCUGUAAGGCUGAUUAGUAACAACUACAACUUGGAGGAUUGGUUCAUUUUCAAAGAACAGUCAAAUCAUAACAAAUUAAAUGAUCCAAAUUCCAAUUAUUUGUGGGAAGAAAAACAGAUCCAAUCAUCAGAUCAGAGAACUAUUGUUAUCUCCAAUGAAAUUCAGUAUCCAUUCAUAUUGGCAUGGCGUUUCCAUGAUGAUCCAGAAUAGCCUUGUUUGGUUUUGAAGGUAUGUUCCAGUCGAUCCUUUUAUGUUGCCCCUUCAAUUAAAGCAGAAUUGCACUCCAGAUGAUUCAUCCAUUCAUUUGAAGCAAAAUUCUAAAAUGCCACUCUAAAAUUACGAAUGUUUUGUUUCAAGGGCGUUGGCCCGGUCUCAACAUUGGUAGGGACGAAUAUAAAGCAAAUAAGGUUGCUCAAAAGUUGGUGGGGACAACUUUAGCAUCCUGAAAAGUUGGUCGUGUUAUGUCCCUACCGUCCCUAUGCAAACCUACGCCAUUGUUUUGUUUGCAUGAAUCAUUUAAACCUGACUGGUUGGUGUUCUUAUGCAUGGAAACACGUUUGUAAUUGUUUAACUACUGUAUUUAAUAUAAACCUAUAUUUUCAAUUGCAGAAAACGUUUACAGUCAAUCAACAGGGGAACAUGGAAAGAGAGGAUUGGAAGUGAAAUAGAGGUAUUUGGAAAAGUGUGUAUAUUCAUUGAUUCAAAACUUGAAGGAAGUGACUCGGUUAAAUUCUUACGUUAUGGUUUUCCGGGACAGCCAUAGGGGAAGGACUGUGGCAUCUUCAUGUUGAUGACUGAUAUGCCAACUCUGAGGAAGUGGUAGUGUAUAUUGCUAGCGGACAAUUUCAAACUUGGGUGCAUGCCACAGGAAAGAGUUUGCCCUAUGGACAGAUGAGGCAAAAGCAUUACUGCAGGGUUAAGUGCCACCAGUCUAUCAGUUACAGAGGUGAAAUUUGAAUAUAAUUGCUGAGGAAGAGGUGCAACCACAGCUCCUUCAAGUUAGUGGUGGCCCACUCCAAAAAGAUAUGGCGGGAAAAAAUGUUUUGCUAAAAGGAUUGUGCAAGACAGCACAAAAGCCUCGGACAGGGCUGGGGGUGUGGAAUCAAUGCAGUAGGAGUUCCCAAGUAUCCUGCAGAUGGAAGAGGAUGAGCACGAACUACAAUGUCUUGGAGCCAUUCAAGUUCUGUUUCAACCAUCUGGAAGAUGGAUUUACCUUUUUUGAGGAGAUUGUUGACUAAAGAAAAUAUCUGGUGUUCUCUCAAUAAUAAUAAAAAAUAAUAAAACUAAAAAAAUAAAGUUUACCACAUUAGAACUGGUUGUAUUCAGUUCAUUU